rnacentral:rRNA from 1 species
GAUGAACGCUAGCGGCAGGCCUAAUACAUGCAAGUCGUACGGCAACACAGUUGCGAGCAAUCGCAACCGGUGGCGAGUGGCGCACGGGUGAGUAACGCGUAUGUAACCUACCCUUCUCCGGGACAUAACUCCGCGAAAGCGGUGCUAAUAUCCCAUACCAACUCAUCAAGACAUCUUCUUGAGUUGAAAGCAGCAAUGCGGUGAAGGAUGGGCAUGCGUCCCAUUAGCUGGUUGGUGAGGUAAUGGCCCACCAAGGCUACGAUGGGUAGGGGUUCUGAGAGGAAAGCCCCCCACACUGGUACUGAGACACGGACCAG